GGAAAACUAAGGGAGGAUGUGUGUAAUGUCUCAAGAAAUCUAGUAAUGACCUGCUAGAGGAUGGAGGAGAUUAAGGUGUGUUUUGCUUUAUUGUGUAUUUCUGUAGAGUGCAGUAAAAGAAAAAUUCUACCAUCUGUCAUCUUCAAGAAAUUGGCAUGCUAUGACAUUGGACAGUGGUGAAAUCAGAUGAAGUAAAGAUGAAUGAAAACAUUAAGAAGAGCCAUCUGAACAGAGAAGAUGAAAAACAAUUGGAAAGGAGAAAGGGAACAAAGGAUGACAACAUUUGACGAUCAAGGACCCUCACUAAGUUAGUUACACAGGAGGUGGAUCUCAGCUCUCUAGAGGCCCAGAAUAAUGUUGUACCCUCUUGACCAAGUCAAAAACUUAGCAUAAUCACAUAAGACCGGCUCAUCAACUGGGAAAAAAACACUGUUGAAUUCCAAGAGGAUUCUCUGUUUUAAAACAAUUGAGAAAUUGGACAAUAAUUUGUACCUGCAAAGAAAAAAAGACAUUUUAAAAGGGAUUGAUUAAACAGUGCCACUUUUUCUUCCCUUGCAUGCAGGUAUCUUGGUCUUGCAGCUAGUCUUCUGCUGAAGGGGAAAUCAAUGACUCCAUAUAAGGGUUUAGCUCAUAUAAUGUAUUGAUAUUUUAUAUGUCAGUUUUUUAACAGAACUGAUCAAAUCAGAAUUUGGACAAUUCCAAUUUCAGAAACUUCAACCCACUUCACUGUAUGCAAUUCUGUGUUAAGUUAGAAAAGCUAUGAUGGAAAAAACCCUUCCUGAGCUGUUUGCCACAGCUCCCCACAAAGGAACUGCAGCAAAGAUCUAAGGAUGAUGCAGCAUUUCUAAAAAGAGAAACUUGCCACUACUCCAGUGGUGUUGGCAACUCCUGAGGUUGUGUGUGAGUGCCAUCUGCUGACCCCUGUCAUGGGAAAACAAAGCAAAACCCACUGAUCUCACUGUUCCUCUAGGUCUGCAAAUGUUCCCCACCAUAUUGAGAGCAAACCUGUUAACCUUCCCCAUAAUGCAAUACAUUCUCUAAGGCAGCUGUUUUCUCCAGCUAUUCCCACUUAUUGUCUACCCCUAAGAGCUCAUAAUUG
rnacentral:lncRNA from 1 species